CGUAACAUUAUAAGCAUUUAUUGUAUUUUUAUUAGUUUAUGUUAUAAUUAAAAACAUACCCUAAGUGGUGGGCUUAUCCUCUGUUGUCCCGAGACACCGGGUUCGACUCUUGCUCACCCAAGAAUUAUUAGAACAGAUACUAAUUUGUAAGGCAUAUAAGACCGCAUUGUCAAAAAAACAUAUUACAAUCGAUUAUUUAAAAUUAAAAAUUCAAACGUUACCCGUGUGCGAAGCACGGGCAAGAUUGCUAGUUUAACUAAUAACUUCUUGCGGUCAUCAAUUACCCGUCCAAAGUAAUUAACCGAUAUUUAAAGUGUGAUAUUUAAAACAAUUAUUUUAGGAUAAAAUGUGUAAUUUCAAAAGUAAAUAGUGGCCGAACCAACCAGCUUUUGCCAAGAUCGGUGGAAAAGAGGAGUCACGCUUAGUGCUUGAUGAAAUGCCUGAACCGGAUUUAAUUUCCUAGAAUGUUUUGAUUUCUUAUUAUUCUCCGCAGGGAUUAUUUGAGAUAUUGACUUGAUGGGUUUGAAGCAUAAUUUAGGUAGCCUUGCAUUAGAUUGGAUUGCUUGUUUAUUUGAGUUUAGCACAAAUGAAUAUGCUUAUAGUUUGGGAUCAGUACUACUGUAAGUUGUUACUCUGACUGUCGUUUAAAUGAUUGCGGUUAAAAUGUAUGAUAGUUCACUACAUUGAUUCUAAACUUAAGGCUUAUAAUCUUUAGUUGCAUUGAUUAGAAAGUGUUGGCUCAUAUCGCGGUUGGAUUUUAAAGCCAAGGGGAAACUAAAAUUCUCCAGCCAAACUUGAAACUUAACCAAAUAAGAGUAGGAAAUCACUCUUUUAACACUUUAUUGUAAUGUACGCGAAGAGGGAGAAGAACUGUCUGACCGUCUCAGGCCCCCUGAGCCACCCCAGAAAGAAUGUGCAUAGUAAUCAAAAAGUAAUAAAACCUUCACAGUAGUGUUUAUAAAACCUUAGCAUGCUUUUGUAGAUUGUCAUAGUCAGAACUAGUCAUGCUGAUUUUCUUGUGGAUAUGAGAAUGAGUAUCAUCUGUGACUUUGUUAAGAGGCUUAAUAAAGGCAUGAAAUAUAAGCUUUGAUGAUGUCUUUAAACUGUGAAGAAUAUCGAAAGUUAACACAACAUAUGCUAGCUAUUAAGUCCCUGCAUGGUGUGCAUAUGGUUCACAUAAAGCAUAACUGCAUAAGCAUGUAUAGUGGUAAUGUCAAGGAGAAGAACAUGAGCUUCUUCAGUUGUCGCUCGUGUGCUAGCUUAUACAUUUGAUACUGAGCAAGGUUAUCACAAACAUUGUUCUUCAAAUAGUCAGGCCUAUGUGGAAUUCCAAAAACAAUUUGGCCGCGAAGAAAGUUCUAGAUUAAUAAUCAACUCUGACUACGAGGUUUCUAAUCCAGGCACUGCUUGAAGUCUUGAACUCAGAUACAGAAAGACCGUUGAAUCCCUGCAGUCCUGCAGAACCAGUAAUAGAUCCUAUUUGAAGGCAAACAUUAUAUCUGCAGAGUGUUCAGGGACCGCAGCUUGAUCUGAGCAGAAAAAAUAUAUGAUGGUCUGAUGUGUCAUCGAUGAAGGGACAGCGAUUAAGGAAACCUAGAUACAUCAAGAUCAGCAAUGCUACGAUUCUGUGUUUGCCACCAAGAGGACUCGUCUCAGACAACGGUAAAAAGAUAUCUUGUGGAAUAGGUGGAAGAGAACUCGGAGGAGGUGACAAAAUCCCUGGAAACAUCCCAGUAAUUUCAUCUAUACCUGCUCCUAUAUCAGCUUCACCCAUUGCUCUACUACCUGUUUCCCCUUUCGAUGCCCUGUCAACAUAUUCAGUCACCGCAAAACGAGCAGCAGGAGAGAUCACGCCACUAUUCCUGUCAAAAACCGCAGAAGAUGAUUGGCCAACCGGGCCUUUACGGCCAGUGAGUCUUUGAACAACCUGCAUGAACUCAUUUGGUUCUACUUUAUAGACUUUUGGUGAAAGAGUAUAAAUAAUAACCGGCGGUGGAUGGUGAUGAUGAGGUUGAGACACUCUUUGCGAAACAUUAACAGGUGUUUUUCGGAUGACAUGUGAGUCUUUUCGUACUUGGAGUGGCGUGGGGCGCGGUCCUUGGAUUUCUUUCCGGGGAGAAUUGCCAGAAAAAUUGUUGGAAGAGUUCAUUUUCAGUAGAAUAUUUCAAGGGGAAGCGAGGCUAGUAAGUUUUGUUGUAUGAAAUGAGAAAGAAACAGAGAUUAUUUAUAUGUAUGCAUGAAAUGAUUUUAAGAGAACAAGUCAGUGACUCAGUUGUAUAAGUGUGUCUGUACAUGUAACAUAGCGAAUACUCGCUUUUUUAGCUGCUGGCUGUUUCUUUGCUUCCUUAGUCUUUGAACUUGUCAACUUUUUUUC